AGCAAAAAUAAAAAUCGCGCAGGGGAAACAGAAAGAAAAAAAUUCGUGCAUCAAGAAAGUUUGAAAAGGAAAAUUCGUGCACAGACUUUUCAAUAGGGAAAAUUAUAAGUUGAAAUAAAAAAAAUUCGUGCAAGGUUAGGCCUAGGGAUCAUAUUUAAAAAAAUUAUCGACACAAGCAAAAAAUCAAGAAAAAAUAUUCGUACAAGUUGAAAAAGCCCUCCCCUCCCC